AAUGGCAGCCGGGAGCGGCCCCCCCGUGCUGACAGCCCGGCUGUGCCACCCUGCCGACCCCCGACACCCCCGUGCUUCCCUCCCGACGGGCCCAACAACAAGGCCGGCUUUCCCCCGCACGGCCCCAGCGUCCCUCCAAAGCCCCGGGGCCACCCGGAAAGCCCCAGUACCCUCAACAGCCCCCGGCUCUCCUCCGCAGUGUGCCCACCCGGCCGUCCCAGUGUUCCCCCGCAGCCCUAAGGUGCCCAGACCGCCCUUCCCACUGCCCAAGUGACCCCCCAGAAACCCGGAGUGGCCCAGCCUGGCAGCCACCCCUGGAGCCCCGGGGCUGCAGGGACCCCACGGAGCCCCCAGGUACGCGUCAGGGCUGAGCAUGGCUCAGCCAUUGGGAGCCCAGGCAGCCGGGGACACUGGGCCUCUGCUGUGUCUCUGCUGGGACCCUGUGUCUCCCCCAGGACCCGGUGUCUGUGCUGGGGACCUGUGUCUGUGCUGGGACCCUGUGCCUCUGCUGUGUCUCCCCCAGGACCCUGUGUGUCCCCCAGGACCCUGUGUCUCCCCCAGGACCCUGUGUCUCUGCUGGAACCCUCUGUCUCCCCCAGGACCCUGUGUCUCCCCCAGGACCCUGUGUCCCUGGUGUUACCCUGUGUCCCUGGUGUUACCCUGUGUCCCUGGUGGAACCCUGUGUCCCUGGUGUUACCCUGUGUCCCUGGUGGUGCCCUGUGUCCCUGGUGUUACCCUGUGUCCCUGGUAGAACCCUGUGUCCCUGGUGGAACCCUGUGUCCCUGGUGGAACCCUGUGUCCCUGGUGGUGCCCUGUGUCCCUGGUGGAACCCUGUGUCCCUGGUGGUGCCCUGUGUCCCUGGUGGAACCCUGUGUCCCUGGUGUUACCCUGUGUCUCUCCCAGGACCCUGUGUCCCUGGUAGAACCCUGUGUCCCUGGUGGAACCCUGUGUCCCUGGUGUUACCCUGUGUCCCUGGUGUUACCCUGUGUCCCUGGUGGUGCCCUGUGUCCCUGGUGGAACCCUGUGUCCCUGGUGGAACCCUGUGUCCCUGGUGGUGCCCUGUGUCCCUGGUGGAACCCUGUGUCCCUGGUGUUACCCUGUGUCCCUGGUGUUACCCUGUGUCUCUCCCAGGACCCUGUGUCCCUGGUGUUACCCUGUGUCCCUGGUGGAACCCUGUGUCCCUGGUGUUACCCUGUGUCUCUCCCAGGACCCUGUGUCCCUGGUGUUACCCUGUGUCCCUGGUGGUGCCCUGUGUCCCUGGUGUUACCCUGUGUCCCUGGUGGUGCCCUGUGUCCCUGGUGUUACCCUGUGUCCCUGGUGGAACCCUGUGUCCCUGGUGGAACCCUGUGUCCCUGGGUGGGCACACAGGGUGCACAGCUCUCAUUUCCCUGUGACACCGCAGAUCACGGGUGGCACGUGGGGAGCUGUGGGAGCCUGUGCUGGGCACUGCAGACUCUGCUGGCUCAGAAGACCCCUCGCUCUUUAGAAGCCUGGUGUUUGGAGCACAGGAGAGUUUGCAGCUGCUGGAGAACUGGGAAAGGUCGUUCAGUUCCAAGCCCCUGCCAUGGACACCUUCCUUGGGCCAGGUUGUUCCAAGCUCCAUCCAACACGGACAGCAAGAGGAGCAGCACUACUGCGGUGUCACCGCUUUUGGGGACAGCUCAGCUGGAGCAGGGACAUCGAUGGCACUGCUCCCUUGUCUGGACUCAUUUUCCCCCUGAUUCUGCCCGUGCAAAAGAGAUCUGGGAGGACCUUGGGAAGGCGUUUUGA
ensembl:lncRNA